rnacentral:rRNA from 1 species
UACGUAGGGUGCAAGCGUUAUCCGGAAUUAUUGGGCGUAAAGAGCUCGUAGGCGGUCUGUCGCGUCGGAUGUGAAAAUCCAGGGCUCAACCCUGGACCUGCAUUCGAUACGGGCAGACUAGAGUUCGGUAGGGGAGACGUGGAAUUCCUGGUGUAGCGGUGAAAUGCGCAGAUAUCAGGAGGAACACCGGUGGCGAAGGCGGGUCUCUGGGCCGAUACUGACGCUGAGGAGCGAAAGCGUGGGGAGCGAACAGG